rnacentral:lncRNA from 1 species
CGCCCCGACCCGAAAUGCAACCCGAAUUUCUAGGGUUUUCUCGACCCGACCCAAUGAUCCAUGGUCUUCAUGGGCUAGACCUCUCCGCUGGGCCAGGCCCAUUCUUCAAUCAAGCUCAACAGGCCCAUUCUCCAAUAAAACCCAGCAGGCCCAUCCAGCUCCACAGGCCCAUCAAGCCCAGCCGGCCUCCCAGGCCCAGCCCACCAGUCAGGCCCAAAUGACCGAAUUUCUGGCCCAACUCCAAGCCUUGAUUCGGCAAGGUACAACCCGACAGGUCAGGUUCAGUUCAAAAAAAUUUGUUUCAUAAUGCUAAAUCUUAUCAAAAUGCAUGGAUUAUUGACUCCGGUGCUACUGAUCAUAUGACUUGGGAUCCUGCAAAUUUAAACAAAAUUCAUUCCAUCAAGGAUUCCCAUCAUGUGACCGUUGCAAACGGGAACAAGGUCAAAAUUCAUGGCCAUGGCACCAUAAAUUUAUUUAAUUGCAACCGUAAUGAUGUUUUAUUUCUGCCUAAAUUUAAUUCUAAUUUGUUAUCUGUUAGUAAGAUUACUCAAAAUUUGAACUGCAAUGUCAUUUUCUCACCAUCUUCAGUCUCCUUUCAGGAUCGAAAUUCCGGGAAGACGAUUGGUAAAGGACACUUAGAAAAUGGCCUCUACUACCUUCAUAGUCCUUCCCCGCAAUGCCUUAUAUCAACCACCCCUGGCAUGCUCAUGCAUCAGAGAUGUGGGCAUCCCUCCGACUCCGUUCUAAAUAAAUUAUUUUGUUACAAUUUAAACUCGAGUAAUUGUGAUGUGUGUAAAUUUUCCAAAAACACGAUUGCCUUUUUCCUUGUCUUCCAGUAGGUCAGAAAAACCUUUUGAUUUAAUUCAUUUUAAUGUUUGGGGACCUACCCC